rnacentral:lncRNA from 1 species
AUUGCUAAUUAUGCCAUUAAUCUCGAGAAAUCGAGCAAUGAUGAAUAGAAUAUUGUAAAGGCAGGGCCAUAUGUCGUGAUCACAAGUGACUAGGCAGCACAAGCUCACACUAGGGGUCAGAAUGAGGCUAUUAAUGCCACAUUUCCCUGGGAAGGUCUGAGAGAAGGGACAUGAGAAGCUCUAGUAGGGCAACCUUUGAGAAGAGGGGCGGAACACCAGACACCCUUUGGAAUCCUUGUUGUUGACUCUGUCUAGGACACCUAGAAAUUAUGUCAAUAAGGUCUAGGUGGAGAUGUGUUAACAACAUUGGUUGGAAAAGUACUGUGUCCAGCUUAAUUUAGUGUGAUGUGUGAGGUGACUUUGGUCAUAACUCAAUUCAGACUAUUCUGUGCUACCAAGUCCUGUGUCCCAUGUCUAUGGUUGUGGGCCAAAUGUACAAUGAUUAUGAGAGCUGAGCAGUUAGCUUUAGAACUGAUAUAUCUACAUUUUUUAUAAACAUCCACUAAUAUGAAGUUAUUUUCAGGACCCAAUAGGAGAGUGUUGAAGAUAUCCAACUUCUAUGAAUGAAUGACUGGAUGGUGCAAAUCACAUGAUUUGAUUUGAAGUCGGCUAAUGCAAGAACCUGGAAUAGGCCAGUAUACUUUUGAUUUAUAAGGACCCAAUAGGAGAGUGUUGAAGAUACCCAACUUGUAUGAAUGAAUGACUGGAUGGUGCAAAUCACAUGAUUUUAACCCAUUCGUGCCAGUUGACUUGCUAUCACACUUAGUGGUUUUUGGGUCUGAUGCCAGUGACGAGAUAUAUAGUCAAGGCCGGUACGCCAGGUAAUCGGGCAUACAGCGCACGCCCAUGACUAGUGCAGCCGAGAAUCCCAAGGCAUUAGGCUUUUGCAUUUGAAUUUCCUGGCAUUUCGACCAUUUAGAGCCAAAAAAGCAUGGUCGUCAAUGGGUUAAAUGAACAUCUCUGAUGCAAAUACAUGAAAACUAGAAUAAUUUACAUGUAUAAGGACCCAGGAGAGUGUUUAAGAUAUCCAACUUAUAUGAAUGAAUGACUGGAUGGUGCAAAUCACAUGGUAAGCAAAUGACUUUUCGUAAAGGAAAUCAUUAUUGAUAUCUUAUUACUAUGUAGUAUUGCUAUUGACUAUAAAGAAUUUUUUUGU